rnacentral:lncRNA from 1 species
UCUGUUGGUUAAUGGGAUUGUCCGUUGCUCUUUGGGAUCAUUCAUCAAUCAGUGGGAUCAUCCGAUGGUUAAUGGGAUUGUCCAUCGGUCUUUGGGAUCAUUGUCAGUCAGUGGGAUCCUCCAGCGAUCAUUGGGAUCGUCCAUUGGUUGAUGGGAUCGUCCGCCGGGUCUUUAGGAUCAUUGUCAAUCAGUGGGAUCGCCCAGUGAUUAACGGGAUCCUCCGGUGAUCAUUGGGAUCGUCCAUCAGUGGGAUCCUCCAGUGAUCAUUGAGGAUCAUCUGUUGGUUAAUGGGAUCGUCCGUUGGGUCUUUGGGAUCAUUGUCAGUCAGUGGGAUCCUCCAGUGAUCAUUGGGAUCGUCCGUUGGUCUUUGGGAUCACCCAUUGGUCAUUGGGGUCAUCCAUCAGUGGGAUCAUCCGUGGGUCUUUGGGAUCGUCCGUUGGUCAUUGGGGUCACCCAUUGGUCACUGGGGCCAUCCGUUGGUCUUUGGGGUCGUCCAUCCAUCCCAUUGGAUCCCCCAUCCGUCAGUGGGAUCACCCGCUGCUCUUUGGGAUCGUCCGUCAAUUAACGGGAUCAUCCGUUGGCCUUUGGGGUCAGCCACUGGUCCGUGGGAUCCCCCACCAAUUAAUGGGAUCCCCCACCAAUUAAUGGGAUCCCCCACCAAUUAAUGGGAUCCCCCACCAAUUAAUGGGAUCCCCCGUUGAUCACCGGGAUCCCCCGUCCAUCAGUGGGAUCACCCGGUGCUCUUUGGGAUCAGCCGCCAAUGAACGGGAUCCCCCAUUAAUCACUGGGAUCAGUCAUCAAUUAAUGGGAUCCCCCACCAAUUAAUGGGAUCAGUCAUCAAUUAAUGGGAUCCCCCACCAAUUAAUGGGAUCCCCCACCAAUUAAUGGGAUCCCCGUUGGUCCCUGGGAUCCCCCACUGCCCUUUGGGAUCUCCCGUUGCCCCCCCGGGCCCCCCCCCGCUCUGUAGAUACUGUACAGCCCCUUUGUAGACUUCGGGAUUUUUCUAUGCACUUUUGGGGCCGGAUUUGGGGUUUUUGGGGGUUUUUAUUUUUUUUUUUGGUUGGUUUCGUUUUUUUUUUUAAUUUUUAUUUAAGGUGGGGGCGGCUCCGCCCCAAAUAAAGAGAAACUUUGGAGAGCGGCGUGGGGACGU